rnacentral:rRNA from 1 species
UACGGGGGGUGCAAGCGUUGUCCGGAAUCACUGGGCGUAAAGGGCGCGUAGGUGGUCUGAUAAGGGUGUGGUGAAAGCCCGGGGCUCAACCCCGGGUCGGCCGUGCCGACUGUUAGACUAGAGUACUGUAGGGGCAGGCGGAAUUCCGGGUGUAGCGGUGGAAUGCGUAGAGAUCCGGAGGAAGACCGGUGGCGAAGGCGGCCUGCUGGGCAGUUACUGACACUGAGGCGCGACAGCGUGGGGAGCAAACAGG